CUUGGAAGAUGGAAUGGGUCUGACUGUCCCUUCAGUGGUAGCGCAGAGGAGGGCCAGAGGUGUAGGCAGAGCUCGGGGGGCCUUGCUGGGCUCAGGACACGGGUGUGAGCUGGUGGUGGCCUACACCAGAGCGGAAGUCACGGACACGGAUUCUCCGGUCGUGCAGGCCGUGGAACUGGCAGUACCCGGUGGCCGGCCACGGCGCGGUGCAGCCCCGGUCCCUCUGCUUCUGCGUCCAGUUUUGCGCAUGUUUCUGGUGGUGGCGGCCCGGACCCCAGGCCAGCGGAGACGGAGACAGAAUGCCUGGCAAGCAGGGCUGCCUAAGUCAGCUUUGUCUCCCCAGAGCCCAGGACCAUGCUGGACACAUAGGAUCCUGCAGGACGUGAUGCAAAGGCUGGUGUCAGAGGGACAGGCUCAAGCAGAAGGACUCCAGGCUCCAGCAAAAGGCAGGAGAACGUGGUGUCCUGGACAGUGCGCAGACGGUGGAGGUCGGAGCUGUGUGGCCUUACGCAGGUUCUUAACCUCUCUGGGCCGCUGUGCUUUCCUCUGUGAAAUGAGGCCCAGAAUCCCUGCCUGUCAGGAUGCUGUGAGAUCAGAGAUCUGCAUGUAGAGAAGAAAUACUUCUGGAAGAUUCUCCGGGAAGAUGCGGAUCAUUGGGAUGGCAUAAACGAACCCCACUCAGAAGGAAAACUACGCCCUGGAUUGGGGAGAUGACCUGUCAUGUGAAAUAUGCAUGUGUCCUCUGGGGUGUGGGGGUGUCGGUGGGUGGUUUGAAAAGCUCCUGCUCUCCAAAGUAGACAGCUCCGGGUGCCCCAUUUCCAUAAAUAAAACCCUCCGUUUCUUCCAGG